AGAGUCUUGAGGAGGAAUUAGGAAUCGAUGGUGCUAUUGUCUGCACGCGUAGUCCUUUGAAUGGGAAGGUUUAUCCUCUUCGUUUGCAGCUUCCUCCCAAUAAUGCAACUAUGCAUGUUGUUGUGGUUUCGACCUCGUCCCAAGCGGGUCAAGAUUUGGCGACGGCAAUGCCAUUUUAGUAAGGAAGCAGAAAUUAUCGUGGUUUUGUUCCCAAGUAUUGAACGCUACGUGUUUUGUGCAUCCUUCAGCUAUAUCCCGAGACCCUUGCAAUCAAGAGAGUUGAAAAGGGCGUGGCGAGCACUAAAAGAGUAUGCAAUCAAUAAUUACGAACAAGUUAGAUCAAAUAUGCGAAAAACUCUGAAUUUAUGAAAGUUUUAUCAACAAAUUCCUGGCGGUGGAAGAGACAGACAGAGAUUUCUACCCACAAAGACUCGUAGAUUCUUUCAUUUUAUAUUCUUGUAGUAAAUUAUAGUGUGUACUAAAAACUUGUUGAGGAUUAUUGUUUUACAUUAAUUCUUAAAUUUUUGAAAUACUAGAAAUGAUUAUUUACGUUAGUGAAA